rnacentral:misc_RNA from 1 species
AACGCACGAGACCUGCGGACCUGCGGAAGGAUCAUUAAUGAGAAACUGCCCCUCGCGGGUAGAUCUCCCACCCUUUGUAAACUUACCUUUGUUGCUUUGGCAGGCCCGUCUCCGGACCGCCGGCUUCGGCUGGCCAGUGCCUGCCAGAGGAUUCUAAAACUCUGUCUGUCAGUGUUGUCUGAGUCUAUAUACAAUCGCUAAAACUUUCAACAAUGGAUCUCUAGAUCGGAAGAGCACACG